rnacentral:tRNA from 1 species
AGGCUAUUAGCUCAGAUGGUUAGAGCGCACCCCUGAUAAGGGUGAGGGCUCUGGUUCAAUUCCAGAAUAGCCUA